rnacentral:lncRNA from 1 species
UUUGCAUCUGGGCAACAGACCCCUUCGGUUUGAUUACUGUCUUGUUUUAGCUCGCAUUUCAUCGUUAAUCUUCACGUUUUUAGCAUCAACUGCUCUAAAAACUAGCUCGAGAAUAGAUCACGUAUUUUUAAAAUCUCAUUUACAAAUUUAAUUAUUGUUACCAUUUUCACUGUAAACACUUCUCCUCCCUCUGGGCGCUCUCAAUCUCCAAAAUCACUGUCUGCAAUCACAAAAAGAAAAGAAGUAAGUCAAAAACAAAAACACCCCUGCUAAUAAAGAUGAAAAGGAGGAGAAGGACAAAAUACCAAGCACUCACUAUCACACCCCUUUUUCACCUUAACCCUCUUUUAGAUAUAAAAGUGAUUUUUAAAGCUCGAAAGAAUUUUCAAUUUGAAAGCGACAAAAGAUAUUUGUUUAAAAGGGGGUCUCAGAGUGUCCACUUGACAAAGUCACGGUGUGCCAAGUCACCAUUUAAAAGCAAUUUUCCCUUCAAAACAUAUUUGACUCUAGACCAGUUUGCACCAGAAAUUUCAAGUAAGGGGGUUCAUUGACUCGGGGAGAGGGUGUUAGGCAUUCCCCGAGUCUCAUGGAGGUCACGUUUGCGUACUUGAUCUAAUUGGCUUUAAAGAAUACUCAAACUGAGGCAAAAACACACGAAAGAAAAAAUAAACACACAAGAGGCUCGAGGUUGUCCCCACCUAAAUAAAAGAAAAAUCAAAUAAGAGGAAAAUACUAAAAAGUCUAUACAAUGCUCAUCCACGAUAUCCAUCACGUCCUCCAAUUACAUUCACUACAGGGCAUACCCCGGAUAAAAAUAUAUAUAAAAUUUGCGGGGCAUUCCCCUGAGUAUAAACUAAAGGGAACGAUCUCUCACCUCAAAUAAAAUAAAAGAAAAGACCUAAAGUUUGCCUACCCGAAUGUGGACGGCCUAAACAUGCUCCGUAUUCGAAAAGACAUAUAGUUUGCCUACCCGAAUGUGGACGGCCUAAAGAUCAAAGCAAUAAAGUAAAACUAAACAAAAUAUUCAUGUUCUAAUUUCUCUUUUAAGUUAGGCGUCCAACCCCACGAGACCCAAUGGAAUAAAACAACAAAAUUAAUCAAAGGCAUUCAUGGAUUCAAAUCCCUUACAUGUCUUCAAGAUCAUAUACACUUUAAUUCAAAAUUUUCUUGAUAAGCCUACAACUUGAAACUAAUUCAUGUUUCAUGUGCUUAAGUAAAAGAGGCAGCGAUCCAAUUAAACAAAAUAACAUUACAACAAGAAAAAUUAUCCAAGGUCUACUUCACAUGAAUUCAAAGCACUUAACCACGUAUACAUCAAGGACAAAACAAGCAAAUUAAAAUAAUCAACGAAAGCUAAAAUAUGCUAACCAAAAAAGCCACGCGAGUUGCUAACGACAAACACAUAUAACAAACAAGCAAAAUGAGAUGAAACAAAGUGGGAGUAAAGAUGACCUUUAUAACUACAAUCUGCUUUCGGAUCACCUCCAAUAAAAUGACCCGAACAACUACAAAUUGUUGUUGUGGUAUUGAAACAAAAUUCGAUGCAUCACCCAAAACUUGACCGCGAACAGGGCCGUCGACCGGAGCUCAAAUGGCACUUCAAUCGGCGCCACAAGACCAACGACUGCUAUGGAACUCCAAAGCUAGAAACUAGAAUCAGAAGUGGGGUUUUCGAUCUUCAAGGCCGCGCCCAUGGCUGAGAUCUGUUGGGUUUUAGAGCUGAUUUUUAUGGUGUUUUAUUACUCAUUUUUGGUGCUGAUUGCAGCAUUAUUUCGCUGCAUUAUUGGAGCUUUAUUUGGUUGGUUUUAAUGGAGUUUUAAGGGGAUGCUUUUGGAGAAAAACGGGCUGGUAAAGGUGGAGAUUUGCCGCCCUUUAAUAGCUGCAUUUUUUGUGCAUUUUUUGCGUUUUUGACUCUGUUUUUGCUCCUCCACCUCUCUGUUCAUGACCCCUGUGUCUCUAUUCUGUGUGUGGUGUAUUUUCUGAUGAUAAAGGUUGAGCGUGGAGAAGAAGAAAAGAAUUUUUCAAAAAUGUGUGGUCCCAAUGCUGUGGUUAAGGACGGAAAAAUCCUGCUGCUAUUGUGCCCAAGUGCGUGAGAAAUUGGGUGCAAAGUAAUUAUGUGAUAUUACAGAAUGAAGGGAGGGAAUAUUCUGGAAAGGACAAAAAUAUAUUUGUUGUUAAUGAUAAGGAAUAAUCUUUAUAAUUUUUUCAACUAAUCAAGAAUAGAAACUAAGAAAAAAU